rnacentral:sRNA from 1 species
GGGUGUGCUGGUGCACACCUGUAAUCCCAGUGACUUGGGAGGCUGAGGCAGGAGGAUCACAAGUUCAAAGCCAGCCUCAGCAACUUAGCGAGGCCCUAAGCAAUUCAGUGAGACCCUGUCUCUA